rnacentral:lncRNA from 1 species
AAAAUAUCGAUUUUGAUGAGUUAUUUUUUCCUUUGUUAUAUGACUUGCAGGUCGUUGGGAAGGUUAGGACUUGGUCAUGUCGUAUACGUUUCAGGGUUAUCCUGCAAAACCACAAAAGAGAAUUGGUAAGCCUUAUCAAUAAGUAAUGAGUAGAUAUUGGUUUAAUCACUUUAUUGCUUUAGCUUAAAGAUUGUUUUGGUUAAGCAGCCUUGAGGUGUUAUGGCAUGAGGAGAACGAGAAAGCUACAUUCAUCAACCUAAGCUGCUUACCUGCAUUUCUAACCUCUUCUUGUCUUCACAAAGUCUCUACCCUCUCCCAGAUUUCAAAACAGAGAAAGCCUGCAAUCAAUGUUCGUGUCAGUUUCUACAUAAGUUUUCC